rnacentral:lncRNA from 10 species
GAUCGACCGGAACGCGGGACCCGGCCUUUCAGAGCGCACCCUGUGUUCGUCUCGUGUCGCUGCACGGCGUGAGGUGCGACGCGAGGGCCACCACCACCGAGCGCUUUGUUUUAUCGCAGGCGUCUUUUUCCCACCGUAGAGGUUGAAACUUGGGCGCAUUUCCCACCGUAGAGGUUGAAACUUGGGCGCAUUUCCCACCGUAGAGGUUGAAACUUGGGCGCAUUUCCUACCGUAGAGGUUGAACCUUGGGCACAUUCAAGCCCGAGAGCUCCCUCCCUCGGAGGCAGGGUCUCGCUCUGUUACUCAGGCUGGAGUGCAGUGGCACACUGCAGCCUCAACCUCCCGGGCUCAAGCGAUCCUCCAAUCUCAGCCUCCCAAGUAGCUGGGACUACAGGAGGGAUCCUCUCGCUUCAGCCUUCUGAGUAGCUGGGAUUACAGGCGCACGCCACCAUGCCUGCCUAAUUUUUGUAUUUUUAGUAGAGACAGGGUUUCUCCAUGUUGCCCAGGCUGGUCUCGAACUCCUGGGCUCAAGUGAUCCACCCGCCCUGGCCUCCCAAAGUGCUGGGAUUACAGAUGUGAACCACCGUGCUGGGCCAUGGUUUUUUUUUUUUCAAGGGUAGUGAAUAUUAUCAAUUCAUUGUUGUUAGUGUUAUUAAUAAAAUAUUAUUUCAGUCUAGUUGUCUGUGUUACUUAAUGGUAAUCUUC